GACGAACCACACAACCGUUAUUCGGAAUUACUGGGCUUAAAGGGUGCGUAGGCGGCGCAGAAAGUAGGGUGUGAAAUCCCUCGGCUCAACCGAGGAACUGCGCCCUAAACUACUGUGCUCGAGGGAGGUAGAGGUGAGCGGAACUUAGGGUGGAGCGGUGAAAUGCGUUGAUAUCCUAAGGAACACCGGUGGCGAAAGCGGCUCACUGGACCUCUUCUGACGCUGAGGCACGAAAGCUAGGGUAGCGAACGGG
rnacentral:rRNA from 1 species